rnacentral:tRNA from 1 species
CUCCAGUUAGCCUUGUAGAUAAAGCUUUGGAUCGACAAUCCGGAGACGACGGGUUCGAUUCCCGUUCUGGUCG